GCGGGCGUAGCAAUACGUCAGCGGCAGACGGGUGAGUAACGCGUGGGAACGUACCUUUUGGUUCGGAACAACACAGGGAAACUUGUGCUAAUACCGGAUAAGCCCUUACGGGGAAAGAUUUAUCGCCGAAAGAUCGGCCCGCGUCUGAUUAGCUAGUUGGUGAGGUAAUGGCUCACCAAGGCGACGAUCAGUAGCUGGUCUGAGAGGAUGAUCAGCCACAUUGGGACUGAGACACGGCCCAAACUCCUACGGGAGGCAGCAGUGGGGAAUAUUGGACAAUGGGCGCAAGCCUGAUCCAGCAUGCCGCGUGAGUGAUGAAGGCCCUAGGGUUGUAAAGCUCUUUUGUGCGGGAAGAUAAUGACGGUACCGCAAGAAUAAGCCCCGGCUAACUUCGUGCCAGCAGCCGCGGUAAUACGAAGGGGGCUAGCGUUGCUCGGAAUCACUGGGCGUA
rnacentral:rRNA from 1 species